UACGGAAGAUCCGAGCGUUAUCCGGAAUUACUGGGCGUAAAGAGUUGCGUAGGUGGCAUGUAAAGCGAGCAGUGAAAGAUCCCGGCUCAACCGGGGGUACAUUGUUCGAACUCACAAGCUAGAGCAUGAGAGAGGUAGAUGGAAUUUCUAGUGUAGGAGUGAAAUCCGUAGAUAUUAGAAGGAACACCGAUGGCGUAGGCAGUCUACUGGCUCAUUGCUGACACUAAGGCACGGAAAGCGUGGGGAGCGAACAGG
rnacentral:rRNA from 1 species